GGAAGGCCCAUAGCUCAGUGGGUAGGGCAUCUGCCUUACAUGCAGAAGGUCCCUGGUUCAAUCCCCGGGCUCUCCA